AAUUUGACAGCUGCCAAACUGCAUUACACCCAUGACCUACUUUUCAGAUGACUCUAUCCCAGGGGGAAAAACAUAAGAAGAUAUAAAUCUUUAUGAGUAAAUCAUGAGUAGAGCGCAAAUAUUUUCCGAUUUUUUCCAGUAUAGGUUGGUGCAGUUCAGCGACUGAUGAUGGCUCCAGAAAUACCCUCCUCUGAAAGGUUCAAUGAAGAGGGUUUAAAACAGGUGAUGGAAAUGUGUUGUUUAUACAUGACAGACUAAAUGUCAAUGUCAAACUAAAGCAAGUUUGACAUUAAACUUUAUUAUUCUGUACGUCUGAUUAAUAUUUAAAUCAAAACACAAGCUAAUGACUGUUUGGCUCCAUUUGAUGUGCUGAAAAUAGGUGAUAAGAAAUGUAAAGGUCAUGGUAAUAUCGGCCUUGUGAGGGCCAAUGCUGCUAUAAUACUGAUUAUAUAAAAAUGCUGAUAUUCAGCCAACCAAUCACUUGUCCUCUCUGUACUAGAUAACAAUGAGAUUUUGGAAAAGGUUGAUAUUUUCUGGUCUAAAUCUUCAUAACUUUGUUGAAUCUGGGUUUCUCUUACAGACAGUAAUUUUUUUCUCAUCUUAAGAUAUUACACUUCUGACAAGAUGUAUUCACACAGUGAAUUCGAUCGAACACGGCCCUCGUGUUAUCAAUCCUGCUGUGUUUUGUAAUAAAAUUCUCCAUGUUACUGUCAUGAGAAGGACACUUUUGCUUUAUGCCACACUUCCACCGGAACCAUUUUCAGUCGGUCUCUGCUCUGCUCACUUUGUUUUCAGAUCGCACCACAGGGCAGCUGGAGUCAAGGAUUUUCCACGUCAAACACAGAAACCAGCGGUUCUAUACCUCUAGUUCUAUAAACCUCUGCUGAAGGGGUGGACUGAACACAGAACUGGUGGAAUUUGGGGGUCGGAGUAAAUUGUCUCAAAUAUUUUUGGAUGGGUUGCCAUGAAAUCACACGUGCCCUAUUAUACCUCAACUUUUGGAUUUCUGAUCAGGGUUUCAGCAUGAAAUACAACAUGAAAUUCCCUUCUGUCUCCCUUCCACACUCAGCCUUUGACAAUAGUCAGCAUUUUAGCAUGCAAAACUGAAUGGGAAGAUAACCUGGUACACCUAGUGAACAUCAGUACAACACCCAUGACUUAAAUAUCAAAUUAUAGAUACUUUUGUAACUAGCACAUCAUGAUCUGUGUUCCUACAAAAGACGGAGGGCUUUCUUCUCAGCCCUCUUCAACAGCCUCUGAUCUUCAGUCUUUUUUUAUUUUAUUUUUUUUAAUGUGACGCUCAAGCCUGUGGCAACAAGGUCAGCGGUGUCUAUUGACUUGUCAGCCACCUAUUGACUGACAUUCAUCUCCUUCCUCUGAA